rnacentral:tRNA from 1 species
UAGAAUAUAGCUAAAAAGAAGAGCAUCUCCCUUACACUGAGAAGAUAUUCGUGCAAGUCGAGUUAUUCUAA